GGGUCGGUGGCCGAGUCUGGCUGAAGGCGACAGUCUGUAACACGCAGGUACCCUUAGGGAAGCAAGCUACAAAUCCUGCUCGACCCA
rnacentral:tRNA from 1 species